GCUAAGCACAAUUCAAAAUAUUUCAUAUUAGGGCUCCCAGUAUACGUAUAUAUACGCGCUCGCUAAUUCUCAAAACAAAACAAAUUAUACAUAAAUCUAACCUCUCAUUCUCGCCUACAUCGAUUUUUCUCUCUAAACGGCAGUAUCAAACGAAUGGCCUUGCCGAAUCAGCAGACAGUGGAUUACCCAAGCUUCAAGCUUGUUAUUGUUGGCGAUGGUGGCACUGG